rnacentral:rRNA from 1 species
GAUGAACGCUGGCGGCGUGCCUAAUACAUGCAAGUCGAGCGAAUGGAUUAAGAGCUUGCUCUUAUGAAGUUAGCGGCGGACGGGUGAGUAACACGUGGGUAACCUGCCCAUAAGACUGGGAUAACUCCGGGAAACCGGGGCUAAUACCGGAUAACAUUUUGAACCGCAUGGUUCGAAAUUGAAAGGCGGCUUCGGCUGUCACUUAUGGAUGGACCCGCGUCGCAUUAGCUAGUUGGUGAGGUAACGGCUCACCAAGGCAACGAUGCGUAGCCGACCUGAGACGGUGACCGGCCACACUGGGACGGAGAAACGGCCCAGACUCCUACGGGAGGCAGCAGUAGGAAAUCUUCCGCAAUGGACGAAAGUCUGACGGAGCAACGCCGCGUGAGUGAUGAAGGCUUUCGGGUCGUAAAAAUCUGUUGUUAGGGAAGAACAAGUGCUAGUUGAAUAAGCUGGCACCUUGACGGUACCUAACCAGAAAGCCACGGCUAACUACGUGCCAGCCGCCGCAGUAA